rnacentral:RNase_P_RNA from 2 species
CGGGAAAAUGAGAUGUCCACUGCUACUGAAAAGUAGGGGAGGAAAGUCCGGACACCAAAGGGCAGGAUACUUCCUAACAGGAAGCUGCAGUAAUGCAGAGCGAGCUCCACAGAAAUAAACCGCCUGAAAUAGUUAUUUUAUAAAUAUCUAUUUCAGGUAAGGGUGAAAUGGUGGUGUAAGAGACCACCGGAAAUCCUGGUGACAGGAUUUGCCAGGAAAGCCUUAUCCGGUGCAAUGCCAAAUAGGGAAGCCAAGAAGUGUUGCCCGCACGAUUAUGGCUUCCGGGUAGGCAGCUAAAGUCCAUUCGUGAGAAUGGAUGUAGAGGAAUGGACAUCAACCUCCUGAUAGAAGGAGGUACAGAAUCCGGCUUAUUAUUUUCCCGUGAG